rnacentral:rRNA from 1 species
UACGGAGGGUGCGAGCGUUGUCCGGAAUCAUUGGGCGUAAAGGGCGCGUAGGUGGCCCGGUCAGUUCGUGGUGAAAGCGCGGGGCUCAACCCUGCGUCGGCCAUGAAUACUGCCGCGGCUGGAGCACUGUAGAGGCAGGCGGAAUUCCCGGUGGAGCGGUGAAAUGCGUAGAGAUCGGAAAGAACACCAACGGCGAUAGCACUCUGCUGGGCCGACACUGACACUGAGAGACGAAAGCUAGGGGAGCGAAUGGG